GCGGUUAAAAAGCUCGUAGUUGGUUCUGCGUGCCGCGCUGUCGGUUCGCCGCCUGUCGGUGUUACUGACAUGUCGCGGCAUGUCCUGUCGGUGGUGAAUGAAAAUUGCCAGUAUUUAACUAAGGCUAUUAUUUUACUCCUCAAUGGUAUGUAGUAAUGGCUGUAAGUUUGUGCUGUAGUAAUUUAAUUUGCCGAUUUCUCCUACUCCGGUGCUCUUAAACGAGUGUCGAGGUAGGCCGACACGUUCACUUUGAACAAAUUAGAGUGCUUAAAGCAGGCUAAAAUUACUGCCUGAAUAGUGGUGCAUGGAAUAAUAGAAUAGGACCUCGGUUCUAUUUUAUUGGUUUUAGGAAUAUGAGGUAAUGAUCAAUGUGGACUGGCGGGGGCAUUCGUAUUGCGACGUUAGAGGUGAAAUUCUUGGAUCGUCGCAAGACGCACUAGAGCGAAAGCAUUUGCCAAGUAUGUCUUAAUUGAUCAAGAACGAAAGUUAGAGGUUCGAAGGCGAUCAGAUACCGCCCUAGUUCUAACCAUAAACGAUGCCAGCCAGCGAUCCGCCGAUGUUCCUUUAAUGACUCGGCGGGGAGCUUCUACCCGGGAAACCAAAGCUUUUGGGUUCCGGGGGAAGUAUGGUUGCAAAGCUGAAACU
rnacentral:rRNA from 1 species